AGAGUUUGAUCCUGGCUCAGAAUCAACGCUGGCGGCGUGCCUAACACAUGCAAGUCGAACGAGAAAGUGGAGCAAUCCAUGAGUAAAGUGGCGACCGGGUGAGUAACACGUGACUAACCUACCUUCGAGUGGGGGAUAACCUCGGGAAACCGAGGCUAAUACCGCAUAACAUCGCAAGAUCAAAGCAGCAAUGCGCUGGAAGAGGGGGUCGCGGCUGAUUAGCUAGUUGGCGGGGUAACGGCCCACCAAGGCGAAGAUCGGUAGCCGGCCUGAGAGGGCGCACGGCCACACUGGAACUGAAACACGGUCCAGACUCCUACGGGAGGCAGCAGUGGGGAAUUUUGCGCAAUGGGGGAAACCCUGACGCAGCAACGCCGCGUGGAGGAUGAAGCCCCUUGGGGCGUAAACUCCUUUCGACCAAGACGAUAAUGACGGUACUGGUGGAAGAAGCACCGGCUAACUCUGUGCCAGCAGCCGCGGUAAUACAGAGGGUGCGAGCGUUGUUCGGAAUUAUUGGGCGUAAAGGGCGCGUAGGCGGUGCCACAAGUCACCUGUGAAAUCCCCGGGCUUAACUCGGGGCCUGCAGGCGAAACUGUGGUGCUGGAGUAUGGGAGAGGUGCGUGGAAUUCCCGGUGUAGCGGUGAAAUGCGUAGAUAUCGGGAGGAACACCUGUGGCGAAAGCGGCGCACUGGACCAUAACUGACGCUGAGGCGCGAAAGCUAGGGGAGCAAACAGGAUUAGAUACCCUGGUAGUCCUAGCCCUAAACGAUGAUUGCUUGGUGUAGCAGGUACCCAAUCCUGCUGUGCCGCAGCUAACGCGAUAAGCAAUCCGCCUGGGGAGUACGGUCGCAAGGCUGAACUCAAAGGGAAUUGACGGGGCCCGCACAAGCGGUGGAGCAUGUGGUUCAAUUCGACGCAACGCGAAGAACCUUACCUGGGCUCGAAAUGCAUUGAC
rnacentral:rRNA from 1 species